UCUAGCAUGGCAGAUUAGUGCAAUGAAUUUAAGCUUCAUUCAAAAAGUUAUACUUUUACUAGAA
rnacentral:tRNA from 1 species